CCCCUCCAGGUUCCUUACUCCUGGGAACUAAAUAUUGGUCUGAGUGACUAAAAAAAGGAGGAAAAGUAAAAUUGAGGUGGACUUGGAGACUUUAACGACAUACAGGUUCAUUUGAAACAUUC
rnacentral:snoRNA from 1 species